UACAGGGGGGGCAAGCGUUGUUCGGAAUUACUGGGCGUAAAGGGCUCGUAGGUGGCCAACUAAGUCAGACGUGAAAUCCCUCAGCUUAACUGGGGAACUGCGUCUGAUACUGGAUGGCUUGAGUUUGGGAGAGGGAUGCGGAAUUCCAGGUGUAGCGGUGAAAUGCGUAGAUAUCUGGAGGAACACCUGUGGCGAAAGCGGCUCACUGGACCAUUACUGACGCUGAUGCACGAAAGCUAGGGGAGCAAACAGG
rnacentral:rRNA from 1 species